GACGAACGCUGGCGGCGUGCUUAACACAUGCAAGUCGAACGGAAAGGCCCUGCUUUUGUGGGGUGCUCGAGUGGCGAACGGGUGAGUAACACGUGAGUAACCUGCCCUUGACUUUGGGAUAACUUCAGGAAACUGGGGCUAAUACCGGAUAGGAGCUCCUGCUGCAUGGUGGGGGUUGGAAAGUUUCGGCGGUUGGGGAUGGACUCGCGGCUUAUCAGCUUGUUGGUGGGGUAGUGGCUUACCAAGGCUUUGGCGGGUAGCCGGCCUGAGAGGAUGACCGGCCACAUUGGGACUGAGAUACGGCCCAGACUCCUACGGGAGGCAGCAGUGGGGAAUAUUGCACAAUGGGCGGAAGCCUGAUGCAGCAACGCCGCGUGCGGGAUGACGGCCUUCGGGUUGUAAACCGCUUUCGCCUGUGACGAAGCGUGAGUGACGGUAAUGGGUAAAGAAGCACCGGCUAACUACGUG
rnacentral:rRNA from 1 species